rnacentral:tRNA from 1 species
GGUUUAUAGCUCAGUUGUAGAGUACUUGCCUAGCAUGUGUGAGGCACUGGGUUCAAUCCUCAGUACCA